rnacentral:rRNA from 1 species
AACGAACGCUGGCGGCAGGCCUAACACAUGCAAGUCGAGCGCCCCAGCGAUGGGGAGCGGCGGACGGGUGAGUAACGCGUGGGAACGUGCCUCUUGCUACGGAAUAGCCUCGGGAAACUGGGAGUAAUACCGUAUGUGCCCUACGGGGGAAAGAUUUAUCGGCAAGAGAUCGGCCCGCGUUGGAUUAGGUAGUUGGUGGGGUAAUGGCCUACCAAGCCGACGAUCCAUAGCUGGUUUGAGAGGAUGAUCAGCCACACUGGGACUGAGACACGGCCCAGACUCCUACGGGAGGCAGCAGUGGGGAAUCUUAGACAAUGGGCGCAAGCCUGAUCUAGCCAUGCCGCGUGAGCGAUGAAGGCCUUAGGGUUGUAAAGCUCUUUCAGUGGGGAAGAUAAUGACUGUACCACAGAAGAAGCCCCGGCUAACUCCGUG